rnacentral:rRNA from 1 species
UAUGUGAUCGUCUCUCGCAUAUCAAUAAGCGGAGGAAAAGAAACUAACAAGGAUUCCCCUAGUAACGGCGAGUGAAGCGGGAAGAGCUCAAAUUUGAAAUCUUAAAGGGUUUCCCUUUACGAAUUGUAGUUUAAAGAAGUGUUUUCUGUUGAGGUUUUGGUAAAAGUUCUUUGGAAUAGGACAUCAUAGAGGGUGAGAAUCCCGUAUUUGACCUUUACUUUCAACUUUGUGAUACACUUUCAAAGAGUCGGAUUGUUUGGGAAUGCAGUCCAAAAUGGGUGGUAAAUUUCAUCUAAAGCUAAAUAUUGGCGAGAGACCGAUAGCGAACAAGCACCGUGAGGGAAAGAUGAAAAGAACUUUGAAAAGAGAGUUAAACAGUACGUGAAAUUGUCAAAAGGGAAGCGUUUGACACCAGUGUUGUUUUUCUGAAAAUCAAUUAAAGAACUGUUUAUGCUAAGUUGUUUAGACUUUAUCAGCUAACUGUUUAGUUUUGAGCUUUUCUUUAAUGCACCUUUCAGUUAACAAGUCAACAUCAAUUUCUUUUGCUGUAAAAAAGCUUGAGGAAGGUGGCUUGAGAUUCGUCUUAAGUGUUUAUAGCCUCUUGCCUAUGCAGUCGGAGAGAUUGAGGUCUGCAGCGUAGAUCCUUCGGGGCUAAAUGCAUUUGUGCUAAGUUAUAGCAUUUUAUAGACAACUUGUUGACUAUGAUUUGUCUUGUAGCUUACUCGCUUAUGUUAUUUUACCUACGCUUAGGAUGUUGACACACGCGCGUGCUCG